GAAAAUAAAUUUUCAUAGAUUUUACAUUUAAAAAUUUAAUUGUAAAUCCUAACCAAUGAAAUUAUAUAAUAAAAUUUAAAAUAAAAUAUUAUAUUAUAGUUAAAUUGGACCCGUAAACCCAUUUGAAUCUCCAAAUCCGGAUGAAAAACCUGUAAACCAUAGGUAAAUCGGACUAAACCUUUGAUUUGGACCAAAUCUGGUUCAGAUUGAACCGAAUUACCCUAGAAAGACCUAGAAGUUUUUUUUUUUUUCUUUUCUUCUUUCUUCCUCUCAUUCUAGCGGCAACCUACCUUCCCCUCUCUCCUUCAUUCUUUCUAACCAAACUCCAUGUAGGGGAGUGAUUCAAAGCUUGAAGAUCAUCUACACAUUACAGAAAUUUGGAUUCGAGCGUUAGUUUGUGUGAUUCGAGUUCGAAUUGAUAAAGAAUCGAGAUUAAGACCUUACUCAUGGUGCAGUUCCGACCUCCAGCAAUUUCACGCCGUUUCGGAUGGUACCAGUGUUGAGAGCGGGCAUCGGUCGGUCUUUUUCAUCCCUAUGAGCAAUUACCCUCUAAAAAUUACAAGGUUCGUGGCCGAUUUGUGAAACCACCAUGAACGCCGAUUCUAGGCUCCUAUCGAGCUUGUUCCUACCAACUAGAGUGCCGAUAUCGCCCAACCAACACCAAAUAUGGACUCUUUAAUGAAAUUUGAGCCUGCUGGUGUGAAGAACGUUCGAUUCCAAGCAACCACGACUUUCUGACCACCAUAGACGGCGGCGCCGGCGAGUAUUUGGCGAGACUCUUGGAGGCAGAAAUUUGAAAAUUAUGCACUGAACUUGAAAUCGAAAUUCAAUUUUUAAUCGGUACAAUUUAAGAUUCAGUUUAUUAAAUUAAUGUAAAUUUCAAGUUUAGAAAUUAUUAUUAUUGAGUUAAAAUUAGUUUUGAUUAAAAUAAUUGAGGAUUAAGAAUAAAAUAAGGGUUCUAAUAAAUUGAAGCAAGCUAUAAUUGCUGCCAUAAAAAUAAUUGAGAAAUUUGAUAAAUAUGGAUUUUACAUAAAUUAAGCAAAGCAUAUAAAUUAAAAUGCCUGGUUAUGAAGAAUGUAAUUAUAUUAGUUUUUUAAUUUAGAUUGAAUUAAAAAUUGAUAAGAGUUAAGGACCAAAUGAGAAAUAAAUUGAUUACUUAGUGCUACAUGAGUUAUCGGGAGACUGAAAAUAAUUUAAAUAAAAGGGAACCUACUGAUGGUAAGUUAAUAGAAGUUACUAAUUUUAAGAGACUAAUCUAGAAUGACAUACGGGGAUAUAUUAGGGAUAUAUUAAGAUCAAAUUGAAUGAUUUUUUUGAAUCGAAAGCUAAGAGUUGAAUACAAAAUUAUUUGUGAUGAUUGGUAUUUGGAUUAUUAAUUGCCCGAUAGAUGGGCUAUGAGAGUAAUAAUCGAUAAGUGUAUUAAGUAGUUAAUGUUUAAGUAGAUAUACAUGAAAUUAAUUCUUUAAUUUCUUAUUUAAGGAAAAUCAUCUGUUUAAUGCGGUCUUUCCUUUAUAUUUGUAUUUUAUCUAGAUCGUCCGAGUUUGUCUACUGCUCCUGCUAAUCAAAAUUCAAGCUAAAGUUUGCUCUAUCUGUUAUCACUAUGAGUAAUAAUAAAUGAUGCAUACCAUCAUUUGCAUACAUGCAUUGACCAUCUCGCAUCUUAUAAUUAUAUAUACAAAUGAUACUUGGUCUUCAUUAUUUUAAUUCUAUAUUAUCAAAGUAACAUUAUUUACAUGAUAAUCAUUGUAUAAAUUAUAAUAUUACAAGCAUAUGAGAAUCCUAUUGAUACGGAUUCGCCGAUACUCAACCAUGGAGCUCAAGGGAAUAUGGGAUAUAACAUGGGAGAUCCAUUGGUGCUUCCUAAAGGGCUAAUUACAAGAAGUCAUGCAAAGAGAUAUGGGCAGCCAUGUUCUUAUAUUCAAGUCCAAAUCACACGAGCAUCAUGAUGAAGCAUUUAACAAGUGUUUUGUGGAACUUGAAGACAUUCCUAGGCUUCUAAUGUUGUUGGUGGCAUGUGAAGUUGAAAUGGAGGAAAGCACGCCUGCUACAGUGCCCAUGCCAAUUAGUUUGACUUUGCUACAGUAAAUUUGACUUNNN
rnacentral:lncRNA from 1 species